rnacentral:sRNA from 1 species
UUUCUCCUUUAGCUGCCACCAGCUGCUCUGUCUAGCUUCUCACCUGCUGGCUUUUCAGCUUCAACUCCUGGCUAAUGAGUGAAGAAGGUCACUGUAGGAGUGUGAGGACCAUCAGGAGCUUCAUAUUUCAAUAACCAGUGCCAAAUUCUGAAUGCCAGAUGGGAUGAGAUGGGAUGUUAAACCGCUUCUUAUUACCACGUUGUUGGCCUCCAUUGCCUUCGUAUUGUUCUCCAAUUGCAUGGUCUCUGUGGAUCUCUGACUUCUUAUUACCUCCGAUUGGAACGCGCCACAAAUCAUCCUGCUUUCUUUAUCCUCUCUCACCUCCAAGUAAUCCUGUCAUCUUGCUCCAAUUAGAGCCGCUUCCAUUAAGAAGAUCGUGACAAAUUCCCUACCCCUGUUUGCUCUUCAGGAAAAUUAUCCCCUGGAAAAGUGGAUAUUAUAGUCGCUUUUCAGAAUGUAUUGUCUGAAUUUCUUGUCUUCCAACAUUCUCCUAAGCCAGUUACCUUUGCACUGAAGUAGAAUUCAAAAGGAGAUAGAGGUUCUGAAUUUCUUCCUUUGACCAGAUGGAAGUCGUUACAUCAGAAUGCUGAUGACAGCAAAAUCUUGGACAUAUUGUUUUCACAAUUAGGAAAUGGCAAACACAAAGUUCUUCAGUGCAAAGCCAGCAUGCGAGUUCAGCUUCCAUUUGCUGCUAUAAAUUUUGUUCUUGUUGCUGCCAGUAAACACCAACUGUUCAAGUGAAAUAGUAAAUCCAAAUGUGCCUGUUGGAUGAGAGUAAAAAAAUUAUAUGCUGCAUAAAUGCUGAUGCAAAAGGAUUUUUCAACACACUAAACCAGGGUAGGGAAAGGAACCGAGAAAGAAAGUUGAACUGAAUGCAGCUCUCACUAAGAACUUCUUGGUAAAAGCACUAAAAAAGCUCUUGAUAGAAUGUUGAUUCAACAUACUGUUUAAACCUCAAGGAAAAAAACAAACGCAGAAUUGGGAUAUUGGCCUUAGGAUAUCUGCUUAAAGUCCUACUUUGAGCUCUCAUCAGGGUUACCAAAGAAGGCAUACACAGAUUGUUACAAAUCAGAGCAAAGAAAAAUCCCAAAGUUCCCUCAAAACUGAUGUGGGCACUUGGCCCAGAAAUUGUUUGCUAAUGAUCAGUCUGACAGCUGAAAGUCAAAGUCAGUGGCUAGUACCAUCUGCAAUAGGAUUUAGGAAGUUUUGAUCUUACAAAUUUACUGUAAGGCUAAUCAAUGAAUGUUUGUACUCAGGUCUCCCUACAGUUAAAUUUAAUGUGUAACUGGAAUUACGAUUCAAAGAGAUAGUUUCAUAUAUGGUCCCUGAAAUUUAAUUUUGGAUUGCCUAAGUUUACAAUGGAUUUCUCUUCUCCUUUCCCCAAUAUUUUUCUUACGCAGAAAAAAAAAAAAAAAAAAAUCCUGUGUGACCUUGGAGCUGGCUGCCCUGAGUCCCAGGCUCUGAUUUGAUUCUGAUGCUCCAGAGCCUGCUUUCUCAUGUAGGUAGUAAUGCCCCCACCCCCGCUGGGUCAUUGCGAGGGUUAAACAAGAUAAUACUUGUUAAAUGCCUGGCACAGCCCUUGCACACAAAAUGUCCUUAAUAAUAUUAAUUCCCCUUCCAGAUUAGACUUUGCAAACAAAUGAUUGAAAAACAGAACAUUCACGUGGAUUGGAUUCUCUAGCAUAAUAAGGCUCCAGGCCAAGAACCAUGCAGUAAAGAUCUUCCAAACCAAAGUAUUUCAGCAUCUGAGAAUGGCUAGGGCUUAUCUUCAUGGCUAAAAUAAGCAUUUUAAUAUAAAGCAGGCUUUUUUCUUCAUUUUCUUAUGGAAAGGAAAGCAUUUUCAGAAUAAUGGUUAAAAUCUGUCCUUUGUAGAUCUGAAAAUGUGAGCAAGUUUCAUACCGAAGUCAAGAUCUACUGCAAGUGUUAGAUGAAUAUAUAAGGACCAGACGCUGCUCUCAAAAAUAAAACAGAUGCUGGUGUCUUGAAUGCCUCCAUGUGCCAAAGCUGAGUUCUUUGACUUAUUUUUGUCAUUGAAUUAAUUGGUAUAUCUGGUUUAAUUGGCCAAAUUGUUUUUGCUUAAAUGUUCACAUUUUCAUUGUUAUAUUGAUAUACUCAAUGUUUUUGAGGGUACAGAAAAUACCAAUAUUGGCAAAUAUAUGUGUUCAGAAGAAAAAUUGUUCAUUUCCAGAUCCCAGAUUUAUGGCAAUUUAAAAAUAUAUAGUAAAGUGUUGGUUUCUCCUUAUGAUUACAUCUGAAUGUAUAUAAA